rnacentral:rRNA from 1 species
UACGUAGGGUGCAAGCGUUGUCCGGAAUUAUUGGGCGUAAAGAGCUCGUAGGCGGCUCGUCGCGUCGGCUGUGAAAACUCGGGGCUCAACCCCGAGCCUGCAGUCGAUACGGGCAGGCUAGAGUCCGGCAGGGGAGACUGGAAUUCCUGGUGUAGCGGUGAAAUGCGCAGAUAUCAGGAGGAACACCGGUGGCGAAGGCGGGUCUCUGGGCCGGAACUGACGCUAAGGAGCGAAAGCGUGGGGAGCGAACAGG